GAUUUGGGGUAGGCGAGCGGGAGGAGAGGAAGGUAGAGGAAAAAACUGAUUGUGAGGGAGAUGAAAGGGAAAGAGGAGAAAAAGCGUGAAAAACCCGUUCUAUGGAAAAACAUCCUUCAGGAGACUACGAUAACCUUCACGAGUCUGCCUGUGUUCCUCACGUUGUCCCUCGUCAUCCUCCUUUGCAGCUUCCAGGAGUCGAUCGACGUUCUAAAGCAGAGCUGAUCGAGUGAAUCGAAGCACUUGUAAAAGAGGAAAAGAGCGUAACGAUAAUGGAUCAAGUGUACCUAGGAUAAUUCCUCUGUAAAAAAGUGAAUGUGUCAACGGAAUCAGCAGAACCGGACACGCCAUAAUCGAAGAUAAACUCCAUGGCCGUGGUGUAUUGUCGAGGGGCAAGAGCUCAACCUAAGAAGCUUACAAAACUUAUUUCGGUCUUCAGUCUUCGAGGUCGAUUCAUUGUUGAAAUUAUGUUCAGAAAGGAUCCAGGGAUCUGGUGUUAUCGAUGAGUAACAAAGUCGGUUUGCAUCAAGUAUGAAUGGCGUAGUUGAUUUACCCAUAUUUAUCCGUACUUAGAUUGACAGCACAAAAAAACGUGCAAGAUAUCUAACCUUGAAUUAAUUCUCAGUCGUUGUGGAAUUUUGUGAUCAGAUUCUUGUUUCCAAAAUGAAAAAUACAAAGAUCUACUGUCAUGUCAACAUUCUUUAUUCUUUUCCCUGUGCUUCCUGAGUAUUUUUGAAUUCAUUGAUAGAUUUUUAAUCAAUCACUGGAUCAUCCGUAUCUCCUGCUAGCGCCUU
rnacentral:misc_RNA from 1 species